UACGUAGGGGGCAAGCGUUGUCCGGAUUUACUGGGCGUAAAGAGCGCGUAGGCGGAAGCUUAAGUGUGGCCUGAAAGCCCCCGGCUCAACCGGGGAAGGUGGCUGCAAACUGGGCUUCUUGAGGGGGAUAGGGGAAAGUGGAAUUCCGGGUGUAGCGGUGAAAUGCGUAGAGAUCCGGAGGAACACCAGUGGCGAAGGCGGCUUUCUGGGUCCGCCCUGACGCUGAGGCGCGAAAGCGUGGGGAGCGAACGGGAUUAGAUACCCGUGUAGU
rnacentral:rRNA from 1 species